rnacentral:rRNA from 1 species
AUGCAGAGCCGCCCCAAGAUGCUCGUCGCCACCGUCGAUGCAAUACACCUUGUCGAGGAGGACGACCUACCAUCAUCGCGAUGGACCGGCGCCGACUACGACUAUGAUGGCAUGAGCCUUGUCGGCACCUGCAACGGCCUCGUCUGCAUGUACGACAACCAAGACCCUAACGGGCCCAUCAUCCUUGCAAAUCCGGUGACCGGCGAGAUGCUGGCCAUACCGCCACCACCCCCGAUGAGGCACACGAAGGCCACUUCGGACUCACGUCUGACGUUCGCCUUCACGUACCACCCCACGACGAGGCGGUAUAAGGUCCUGCACGUCCCGUACAGCUUCGAGAGGGUCUGGAUGUUCACGCUCGGGGAGGCGCUCUGGCGAGACGUUGCCACGGGCAGCCCAACGGAGAUAUACGACCUCAGCAAGGGCAUGAUCAGCAUCGAUGGCACGGUAUACUGGGCGGUGAAGGGCGGGGAGGCUAAGGUCGUGUCCUUUGACCUUGACAGCGAGCACGUCGCAUCCGUCAGGCCGAUGCCAAAAGUGUUGUCUAGACACGUACGGUAG